ensembl:lncRNA
AUCUCUUCCAUCCCACAGCCUUUCCUUUGCAAAUGAGGAACUCCCAGAACAGAAUUCUAGUGGUGCCCAUUUUAAUUCAUCUACAUUUUCUCAGCUCCUGUUUGCCCUGUUUGCCUGUGGCUUGGAUUUUUACACCAGUAAGGGAGUACUCUGUGCUGGCUGGUUCACAAUGCUGGAUCCAUGGUGCCUGUGAUUAAAACAAAACAAAACAAGACAAGAAAUAUAGGUGGAAUGGAAACAAGCAAGAGGAAUAGGGUAGGAAGGAGGAGAGAGAAGGGGGAGUUGUGAGAACUCCCACGGAAAUAACAGCCUGACAAGAACACUUCAUGUAUCUGAUGCAACACAUAUAGAUAAAUGUUGCAAUACUUUUAUAGAACCUUACAAUAUUGUCUUCUCAAUUGUAGGCAAAGACGGGCUGCCUGGAAAGCUGGACCCAGCCUGGAGCCUGCCACCCAGAUUGCUAUUUUGUGAAACCUUCUGCAUACAAAUGACUCAGAUCCAAACAUUCAAAAAUGAUCUCGGAGGGCCAUCUGGUUCUCACUGGUUCUAAAAGCUUCAUUCAGUCCAGGGUGUGGAUCCGGUUCAAAAGACAGAAAAGAGCUUUUCACAGAGAAGGUCUAAUGUGUGCCACUGACCAAGGCUGCAAGCUAGCUUUUAAAACCAGCCAGCCAUGAUGCUCUGAGGGCCGGUGGAUGAUGACUUUCAUAGAUCAGUGGAAGUCUGAUAAAUAUUUAAUUGAUGAUGAGGUUGCAUAGUGGUUUGAACACACACACACACACACACACACACAAACACACAGAUGCAAUUUUGUAUCAUCAGGAAACACGUGUUAAUUUGUUUGGGUGUCUGAAUCAGUCUGUGAUUUAGACUGAACUAGCAUGUCAGGCAGGCCAUGAGGUCUCCCGGAGCCGUGUAAUCUUUGCGAUAUGUCAUUUUUAAUUCGUGGAGACAGUACAGUCAACCUUGCAGUCCGUAUGCUAGUAUUGCUUGCCUUUGCCGUUUACACAGCCUGGCUGCUUGUCUUCCUGACUAAAGGAAGGUUUGUGUCCUCUGAAGCCAGGGGAUGGCGACUGCUCCUUUGGGAGGCUCAGAGCAGGAACAGGAUUGGGAGAUUGUGUGAUCUCAGCCUCAGCUUUGGGCUACACCAAGUCCAGAGACGAGGCACCGGGGAACAGCAAGUGAAGUGCAUACAGUCGCGGGUGGGGUACUUGACUUACUUCUCAUUUCUGUGCGUUUUCUCUGACUCAUCAGACAGUAGUGUUCAGGGAGACACGCGUGCUUCCGUUAAUGCAGGCACACCAACCCAAAAUGUAGCGGAUGCUGUGGUCUUGAAAACUUUUUCGUUAAUGGCUUCUCAUACUCCAGGAUGCAGAGUUCAGGAAUGUCUUGCUCCCUGAAAUCCAGCACAGUGCGCCACAUAAAGAAUAUAUUCAAGGACUUUGUUAGAUACUGGAGACAAAAACCAGCUUGUUAAGGGCACCGAUGAGUGAGAUGGGUGAAUGUCGGGACCUUGGUGCAGUCAUCGUACCCCUACUCCAGGCAGCUCAGCUUUCUCUGUUCACUCUUAGUGAAUCCCGUGGUGGACUCACCUCAUCUGUCCAAGGCUAUGAUGUUUUAGGAGAGUUUCACCAUUGCUGAACAACGGAGACAGCCAGGAGCUCCUAAGUGCAAAGAGGUUGAUGGCUACAUCGCUCAUUCUGGAUGCUGCCAGAUCAUUCCCACCACCUGCCAUUGUGUUGUCUCCAGACAACGGCAGACAACCACAGAAGCUUCGAAGCCCUAAGGCUACUUGGAGAGAAGAAGACUGUCCCUGGCAAAGGUAGGUGAGUCUUGCUUAGGAUACCUAAUGAUUCACAAAAGACCACGAUGACUUGGAAUGAGGAGUAAUUAUGCUAUAGAGAGGUAGACAUCUGGCCCAGGGGAAAGGGCCCAGUAAAGUGGUCUGUGUUGUACAUCAGACCAGAAGUGGGGUAGGAAUGGGCUCUUGAAUGUCUCAGAAGGGUUUAAAGUAUGUUGUCUCUUCUAUUUGUUACUCUAUCACACUUUGUUCAUUUUUUGGUGUGUGUUCCCAUGAGUGCACACAUAGGGAACGUCACUGUUGGUGUCAUUCUCUUGAUUUCCAUGCUCUUUUUGAGGCAGGAUCUCUCCUGAGCCUGGUGCUCACUUUGGUACACAGACCAACAUGCUUCCGAGCUUCAAGAAAUCUUCCUGUCCCUGUCCCUCAAGUGAUGGAACUAUAGGCAUGCACUAACAUGCCAAGAUUUUUAUAUGCGUGCUAGGAACCUGAACUCAGGUCUUCAUGCUUAUAUAGCAAGCACUUUAAGCACACAGAGUUAUCUCCUCAGCCCCCAGUUCAAUUCUGUAGACCCAAGAUGACUGUGUCUUUCUCCUCUGUGGAUGCAAGAUUAGUAUGGUUAGGGCAAUGGUUUCUAUAAUAAUCUCAUCUAAACUCUGAAAUUAAUUUCUCUCCAGUACCGGCACUACUGUAAAAUUCUUAACUAAUCAGUGUAUUAAAUUAUCGUUCCUAUGAGGGGAAAGAUAACUGGUUGACUAUCACAUCAUGACCCCAAGUAUUUUCUCCUUGUGUGAUGUCAUCAUUUAGCUGUAUCACUAGCACUGUUGGGUGCUAAGUAGCCCAGCACAUCAUGUGUACUAUGUGGCUUUAACUUGUUUCUAUGACAACCUUAGUAUUCUCUCACACUAGCAAAAUUCAGAUGUAUGUCCAUGAAUUUGAAGGGAACAUCUCUUGAGAGUCCAACACCAUACCUAUAUCAGCCUGCUUCACAGAGCAUUCUGGGAAGAUGGCCAUAAUCAAUAUUGCUGUAUAUGACUUCAUGGGUGGCCUUCCAUGUGAAACCUUUCUGGGAGAGUCUAAGAUAUCCAAACUCUUCUCUAGGCUAGUAAACAAACAUCCUGCUUGUGGAUUCAUUAUCCUUUGGAGGUCUAUUUAUACCACUUUGUCAAGUUCAUGUAUUAGUAUAUACUUCAGGGCCAAGAG